CGAGCGAAGCUGAACGAAGGAAACGCCCUUACGAUCUACGUGAAUUGCCUUGUUCUACCACAAAUUGUUUGUAACUACGUUACUACGUUAUUUUAAAGGCUUAUUUAUGUAAUAAAUAUCACAUUUAAUGAUAUUUUUCUUUCCAACCUUUAUUAAAACCACAGAUUUUUAUGGUGUUCGGCUUAAAAGUUUAUAUGGAAUUUGAAAGACCACAAAGAAAGACUGCCCUUGCGAGUAUACAAAAAACCAAAUUUAUGUUAAAAGAUGAAAAUUAAUUGUUUAAAUUUGUUGUACUGAAUAUUUGAAGCUUUUUUGAAAUAAUUUUAUAAGGUAUGAUUUGUUUAUGGGUUACUUUAUUGAUUUACUUAGUUUGAUUUAUUCAAAUUCUUUGAAUUUGAAUCCCUCGUUUGGAGUGUUUAAGGUUUUCUAGAAAAUUUAUUUGUAUAUUAUUUCCAUAUUAAAGUAGUCCUUUAAACCCCCGUGCCAUACUAACCAAAUUAAUUCUAAAAGGAACAUGGGAGUUUGAAGGAUUGCGCAACACCUAGACGCUCUGCUCUGCUCUGCUGGCUCUUUUACCUGUUUCAGUUCGUCCUCCUCAUCUUUGGUUUUUUAUGGAAGGACGACUGCCUUUACAUUUCGCGAUUCUUGGACCAGAAAAACAUGUCUAAUUCGAUCCGCCACGAAGAAGGAAUAGCAGUUCAAGCUCAGGUUCCAACUUAGAACCACUGGAUAACAUUUGAAGAUAACUGGUGAACUCUACUCCCUCGUAUGAGAAUGUUUUGUGUAUUGAAGAAGCAUCUACAUUAACUAUGUAACACAUUCUUGCCGACCCACCUGUCUCUGCCUCUUCCGUCGUCGUCUUUGAAGCCUACGUCAUCAACACUUCUAUGGAGUCAAUGGUUGAACCUUUCCUGCCCAGUAAGUUUCCUACGAUUUGUGGCGUAUGGUAAAGCUUAGGUUAGGGGUUUUUUAAUUAUUCUUAAUUAUUACCACGCUUUCGGAAGCUGUAAAUUUUCUAUGGAUUCUUAUUUUGAUAUUGCUAUCCAUAAAGGUGUAUAUUUUUUGGAACUUUGUUAUCACCAUUUUUGUAAUUGCUCUGAUUUUUAGGCAGUUGCUAUUUGUUAAGGGCAGUGGUUUAGUGGAAGACACUGAUUCAGUUUCUGGUACUUUCACACAGUUGAUUUAGGUAAUUUCAGUCUUAAGUUUGUCAAUGAUAUACACAAUUUUUUACAUGAGGAUAGUCUUUAUUUUAUUAAAUAUUGUUGGACUCUAUAAUGAUAGUCUGUUGUUGUUGUUUUCAGAAUCCAUAGGUUUUCAAAAAUUUCCAUGAGCGAAGGUCUUUCCACCACAAGCAGUAGUUGUCAAUUUAUGAUUAACGAUUGGGAACAGGACUUCAGCCAUCGGAGUUGUAUCUAUGCCAUUUCGUAAUCUUAACUUUCAUACGAAUAAAUAAUUUUAAAGAAUUUGUGUUUUUAUUUAACUGUGAAUGAAAACAUUCAAGGUUGCGAGCAACUCUUGUGUAAAGCUCUUGGUUUUUCUAUAAAGUUUUUGAAAUGGCGCCCGAACAGUGACUCUGAAGGCUUUAGUCUCCAUAUAGGCGACGAUAGGGUGGCAUUGCAGGUUGGGUUUUGUGUAUUAAGAGUUUGUCUGAGUUAACGAUGGGGAUAAUUUGAAUUUAUUCAGAUUAUUUUUCUAUAAGAAAACAUUUAAUAAUGGAAGAGGAACUAAGGUAUUUAGCAAUGUGCAGGAAGACUGUAAGGUCUCAGGUUACUAAAAUAUUCAAAACUUCAGGUACUUUUAGAAGUUUGAGUGAUGUCGAUAGGUCAACGCUAAUUUAUAGGUUGAAAUGUUAUAAGGAAGACUUACGAAAUUAUGAUAGCAAGAUUUCUUCAAUCAAAUGGUCCUCAUCCAAGAACGAAGCAGAAUUUAAUGCUGAAUUUAGUUCUUGCCAGGAAUAUUUAGACAAAGUUAUUCCAUUGAUAAUUCAAUUAGAAAAUAUACUUCCUUUGUCACCAGCUGAACUGCAUGAAACCCCCCAUAGCCUCCUUAAGAGUCCAGUAGCUCCUUUGCCUAAAUUUGCUAGCAAUGAUGGCGAAAAUAUAGAAUUGUUUUUCAGACAGUUUGAAGAAUCUACAAGUAAAUUUUCGUAGACUGAUUAUGAUAAACUACUUUUGCUAAAGCAGCAAAUUUCUGGUAAGGCUGCUGUUUUAAUAAAAUCAUUAGAGGCAGAUAGGCAAGGUUAUUCACAUGCAAUAGAAGCUUUUGCUUCUAUUCCAGUUCAAAAAUUUAAUGUACUGAAACAAUUGGUAAAUAUGAAGUUAGAUGAAAAUUCUGAACCAUUUGAAUACAUUAGUAAUAUUAGGAAAAUACAAGAGGCCGUGAAGACUCUGAACAUUAGUGUUGAUGAUGUUUUACAAUACUUCUUCCUUAAAGGGAUGAAUGAUACUUUUAAGAACAUUAUGAUUCAAGUAUCGGGAAACUCAAAACCUACAACUGUACAAAUUGUGGAAAAUUUCUUUGAAUGUAAUGAACGUUAUUUGAAUGUUUGUUCCGCUACUAAGCCUAUGGAAGAAGCUUCGGUAGCAAAGAAUAGGUUCAAUCCCAAAAGCUCCAAUUUAACUAUUAAGGUGGAUGUUGAAAACGUUAAUCCCUUUAUUUAAUGUACUCUUUGUCAAAAUGCAAUUUCUUCUAAGCACCCCAUUGAUAAAUGCACUAGGUAUAUCACCCCAAAAGAAAAAGUAAAUAAAUUAAAAGCUCUUAAUGCUUGCAUUAGAUGUGCAAAUCUAGGACAUGGGGAAAAUUUUUGUAAGUUUAGAUUUAAAAGGAAAUGUAGUAAAUGUUAUGGUUGGCAUUUUUCAUUUCUAUGUUCUUGUGAUUCUGUUAAUCCUUCAGUGAAAGAGACUGUAUCCAUUCCCAUUGAUACCAAACCUAAGCAGAAGCAGCAUAGGGGUACAGCCACAAAGAAAACUACUCAAAGUAAAGUAAUUUAUCCAGGUGCCUCCCUCCAAAGUAAUGGUGGUAUAGACUCUUUGUUGCCUACCUUUUCAUGCCUCAUUGGAAAUACGAAGGUAAGAGGGUUAAUGGACUCUGGUAGUCACGCCAACUUUAUAUCGGAAAGGGCUCUAGAGGGACAGCUUUACAGAAUUGUUAAGGAUAAACUGCAGGUUACUGUUAAUGGAUUUAAUGGCCCAAGGAAGUAUAAUUCUAAAUUAGUAGAAGUUAAGGUAAAGUUUGGACAUGACACACAUGACAUAGAAGCUAUUUGUGUUCCCGAAAUUAACUUGAAUUUGAAACUACCUGGCUUAAGUUUAAUUGUACAAUCCUUUACAGAAAGAGGGUAUGAACUUUUUGAUAAUUUUCUAAGGACGGGUAGUGACUCUAUUUCCAACAUAGAUUUUAUUCUUGGUUCCAAUUCCUUAUAUUGCAUUAUGAUAAACUGUUGUAUAUGAAGAAAGUUUUAAUGUAUUGGAAAGUCUUUUUCCCAUGACUUCUUGCUUUAGGUCUAAUGUAAUAACCUUUGAAAACCCUAAAGAGGAAAACUAACAUUUUUGACCAAAUUGGUGUGGUUAAUGAUGAGGAAUUAGAAAGAGCCGCUUCUCAAAUACUAGAACAAGAUUCUUAUCAUUUUCAUGAAUAUGUAGGACUAGAUGAGGAAACUACUGAAGUAAAUCGGAAGUUAGUGAAGUUCUUACUUAGGAACACUCGUAGGAAUGAAGAUGAUAGAUUAGUAAUGCCAUUGUUAUGGAAUGGUAGUUUCGCAUUUAUUAGGAAAAAAUUUUAACUUGUCUAAGAAAAUAUUGGAAGCUACACACAAGAAACUGUCCAAACAGGGGAAUUUGAUUAAAUUGAUGGAUGAAAAUAUUAAGGAACAAGAAAAACUAGGUUUGAUAGAAACAAUAGAGAAUUUAGAAGCAUUUUGUUCUCAGCAUCCUGAGUAUAGCUUCCUACCUAAUAUGGGAAUAUUCAAUUUAGAUAGGGACACCACUAAAUGUAGAAUAGUUUUCCUAUCAAAUUUAUGUGAAAAUAGUUCAAAGAGUAAUCCUGUUAUAAGUCACAAUCAAGCCAUGUGGGCUGGACCUUGUCUUAAUCAGAAGAUAUCUACUUGUUUGUUUCAAAUUGCAUUUGAUAAAUAUUUGAUGUGCUUUGACUUGAAAAAGGCAUGCCAACAAAUUGCUUUAGAGGAAGCUGAUCAGAACAAACUUUUGUUUUUCUGGUUUAAAAACCUUAACAUGGGAGACUUCACUUAUAUUGCUUAUCGCAAUCUCAGACUUAGCUUUGGUUUACGAUGUAGCCCAACAAUACUAAUGGAAGGUUCUUUAUUUUAAAAUUUUGAUUCUGGACGCAAGAGUUGACCCAAUUGAAUUGAGGAACUUUAAGAAAUUAAUUUAUUCAUUAUUAUACAUGGAUAAUGGCGCAUUUACUGCUAACGAUGGGGUUUUCAAAAAUUGAAUGAAAUUUUUCACCCUUAUAAGUUUGUUCUGCAGCAAUUUGUUACUAAUGAUGAAACCUUGCAAAGUGAUAUUGAUCGUAAAUUAGAAAUAGAGACUCCAAAAGUAGUAAAACUCUUCGGACUCAAUUGGGAUAAGAUCACAGACAAGAUUUCAACUCGCAAACUGAAGUUGGAUCCAGAGGCUGAUAAUAAAAGGUUGGUUUUGAAAAGCAUUGCUCUGAAUUUUGAUCCAUACAAUUAUAAUGAACCUAUUUCAAAUAGAGCUCGCUUAUUCAUGCACAGUCUGCAGACUGACAAACCUCUCAGUUGGGAUAAAAAGUUAUCGAAUAGGCAACAAAAGGAAUGGAAGAACAUUUGCAAACAAGUAAAUGCUACGCCAGAAAUUGAAAUCCAAAGAUUUGUAGGUGAAAGAUAGUUCAUACAGGCUAAUAGCUUUUACAGACAGCAGUAAAUCUGUUUAUGGCACUACUGUUUUUAUCCAGGAUAUUUCGACGCUAGAAGUUAACUUUGUUCUUGCUAAAAAUAGGUUAGUGAACAGACAAUUAGAGAAUAAAAGCAUUCCUUCACUAGAAUUGCAAGCCGUUGUUUUGGGGACAGAAACCUUAACUGAUUUAUGUCAGGAGAUAACGGGCCCACAAUGUCCAACACCCAUUAAAAUUGCAGACUUGGUUUUGUAUACCGAUAGUAUGGUGUCUUUAAGUUGGAUCAAUGGGUACGUUAAUACACUGGACAAAAUGAACAAGAAAUGUGUAUUUAUAUUGAACAGGUUAGAGCUCCUUCAGAGGCUUUGUAAUAAGCACCCUGUUAAGUUUAGUUUCAUAAGUGGAAUACUAAAUCCGGCUGAUUGUAUCACUAGGUGCAUAUCCUAUAAGGUACUCAAAAGAACUAAUUACUUUUCAGGGCCAGAAUUUCUAAGAACAGAAAUUAGUGAAGAAAUUGGAAAUAAUGAUAAUUUUGAUGUAGUAGUUCCUAAUCCUAUGGCAGAUCAAAAAGUAACAAACUACUCACUGAAUACUUCUGACACAACUAAUGUUUCCCUUUCAAUUCAAAGUGAGCAUUUAAUUGAUUUGAAUGAAGUGUCCAAAUUUUCAAAGUUAAUCAAGAUUCAUAUGCUUGUUCUAAAGUUGUACAAGACAUUUCAUAUUUUCACUUGGCGACAGGAAAAACUAGUAAUUAUUAAGAACUUGGUAUUUCAAUUGCCCUACUCUUGGUACCGUCAAACUGUCUUUCCUGCCGUCCAGUCUUUAAAAGAUGGAUAGUUUACUAACUCCUCCUCCUUUCAUAUGCUUUACUUGAGCGAAAACGGCGACGAGGAGCGAGGCAGCCCGGCCGUCAGACAGAGCAGAGACCUAACUCACCUGGAAAGGUUCAUAUUUGAUUCGUCCGACAUGCCUGUCUUAAGCUAAAGACUUUUAUUGGGAUCCCUGGUCUACGUCACCCUCUUGUGGACAUCUGCCAAAAUCCAUCUGCAUGGUUCGACAAUGGAAGGUGUUUGGCUUCGGUGUAUCGGCCCUUUUAUUUCCUUCCUGAUACUGAUGUAAACCUCAGUUGCUCAAUUGUAAGACAGCGAGCGAAGCUGAACGAAGGAAACGCCCUAUGAUCUACGUGAAUUGCCUUGUUCUCCCACAAAUUGUUUGUAACUACGUUACUACGUUAUUUUAAAUGCUUAUUUAUGUAACAAAUAUCACAUUUAAUGAUAUUUUUCCUUUCAACCUUUAUUAAAACCACAGAUUUUUAUGGAGUUCGGCUUAUGGCGCCCAACGUGGGGCAACAUGAAAAAAGG